rnacentral:rRNA from 1 species
UAUGUGAUCGUCUCUCGCAUAUCAAUAAGCGGAGGAAAAGAAACUAACAAGGAUUCCCCUAGUAACGGCGAGUGAAGCGGGAAGAGCUCAAAUUUGAAAUCUUAAAGGGUUUCCCUUUACGAAUUGUAGUUUAAAGAAGUGUUUUCUGUUGAGGUUUUGGUAAAAGUUCUUUGGAAUAGGACAUCAUAGAGGGUGAGAAUCCCGUAUUUGACCUUUACUUUCAACUUUGUGAUACACUUUCAAAGAGUCGGAUUGUUUGGGAAUGCAGGUCCAAAAUGGGUGGUAAAUUUCAUCUAAAGCUAAAUAUUGGCGAGAGACCGAUAGCGAACAAGUACCGUGAGGGAAAGAUGAAAAGAACUUUGAAAAGAGAGUUAAACAGUACGUGAAAUUGUCAAAAGGGAAGCGUUUGACACCAGUGUUGUUUUUCUGAAAAUCAAUUAAAGAACUGUUUAUGCUAAGUUGUUUAGACUUUAUCAGCUAACUGUUUAGUUUUGAGCUUUUCUUUAAUGCACUUUUCAGUUAACAAGUCAACAUCAAUUUCUUUUGCUGUAAAAAAGCUUGAGGAAGGUGGCUUGAGAUUCGUCUUAAGUGUUUAUAGCCUCUUGCCUAUGCAGUCGGAGAGAUAUAGAGGUCUGCAGCGUAGAUCCUUCGGGGCUAAAUGCAUUUGUGCUAAGUUAUAGCAUUUUAUAGACAACUUGUUGACUAUGAUUUGUCUUGUAGCUUACUCGCUUAUGUUAUUUUACCUACGCUUAGGAUGUUGAUCUACAGAGCGAGAGU